rnacentral:pre_miRNA from 1 species
AGGAAAAUUGCUGGAUUAUGUGGUAACUCUAUGUUUAACUGUUAGUGGAAGUGCCAAACUGCUUUUCACAUUGUUUGCACCAUUUUUAUUUCCCACCAGCAGU